AAUCAACGCUGGCGGCGUGCCUCAGACAUGCAAGUCGAACGAUUAAGACUUCCUUCGGGAAGUGUAUAAAGUGGCGCACGGGUGAGUAACACGUAAGUAAUCUACCUUCGAGUGGGGAAUAACGUUCGGAAACGAACGCUAAUACCGCAUAAUGCAGCGGCAUCGCAAGAUGACAGUUGUUAAAGGAAUUUAUUUCGCUUGAAGAGGAGCUUGCGGCAGAUUAGCUAGUUGGUAAGGUAACGGCUUACCAAGGCUACGAUCUGUAUCCGGUCUAAGAGGACGGUCGGACACACUGACACUGAAUAACGGGUCAGACUCCUACGGGAGGCAGCAGUCGGGAAUUUUGGGCAAUGGGCGAAAGCCUGACCCAGCAACGCCGCGUGAAGGAUGAAGUAUUUCGGUAUGUAAACUUCGAAAGAAUGGGAAGAAUAAAUGACGGUACCAUUAUAAGCUCCGGCUAACUACGUGCCAGCAGCCGCGGUAAU
rnacentral:rRNA from 1 species